rnacentral:rRNA from 1 species
CUAUACAUGACUCUGCGCAUAUCAAUAAGCGGAGGAAAAGAAACUAACAAGGAUUCCCCUAGUAACGGCGAGUGAAGCGGGAAGAGCUCAAAUUUGAAAUCUUAAAGGGUUUCCCUUUACGAAUUGUAGUUUAAAGAAGUGUUUUCUGUUGAGGUUUUGGUAAAAGUUCUUUGGAAUAGGACAUCAUAGAGGGUGAGAAUCCCGUAUUUGACCUUUACUUUCAACUUUGUGAUACACUUUCAAAGAGUCGGAUUGUUUGGGAAUGCAGUCCAAAAUGGGUGGUAAAUUUCAUCUAAAGCUAAAUAUUGGCGAGAGACCGAUAGCGAACAAGUACCGUGAGGGAAAGAUGAAAAGAACUUUGAAAAGAGAGUUAAACAGUACGUGAAAUUGUCAAAAGGGAAGCGUUUGACACCAGUGUUGUUUUUCUGAAAAUCAAUUAAGGAACUGUUUAUGCUAAGUUGUUUAGACUUUAUCAGCUAUCUGUUUAGUUUUGAGCUUUUCUUUAAUGCACUUUUCAGUUAACAAGUCAACAUCAAUUUCUUUUGCUGUAAAAAAGCUUGAGGAAGGUGGCUUGAGAUUCGUCUUAAGUGUUUAUAGCCUCUUGCCUAUGCAGUCGGAGAGAUUGAGGUCUGCAGCGUAGAUCCUUCGGGGCUAAAUGCAUUUGUGCUAAGUUAUAGCAUUUUAUAGACAACUUGUUGACUAUGAUUUGUCUUGUAGCUUACUCGCUUAUGUUAUUUUAUCUACGCUUAGGAUGUUGAUCUACAGAGCGAGAGU